UACGUAGGGUGCAAGCGUUGUCCGGAAUUAUUGGGCGUAAAGAGCUCGUAGGCGGUUUGUCGCGUCUGCUGUGAAAACGCGAGGCUCAACCUCGCGCCUGCAGCGGGUACGGGCAGACUGGAGUGCGGUAGGGGAGAUUGGAAUUCCUGGUGUAGCGGUGGAAUGCGCAGAUAUCAGGAGGAACACCAAUGGCGAAGGCAGAUCUCUGGGCCGUAACUGACGCUGAGGAGCGAAAGCAUGGGGAGCGAACAGG
rnacentral:rRNA from 1 species